rnacentral:sRNA from 1 species
UUUUUUCUUCAAAUAAUGCUUUUAUUACGACAUAAAAUCUAAGGGUUGGCUGAUUUUCGAGCCAUAAACUAUUUCGAUUCUCAGCUUUCACCCCCGGACUUUUGGGCCCUUAAAUUUCCACCAUCAACUUUCAUAUUCCCAAAAUUACAUCAUCUACUUUCGGAUUCAUGCUUAAACAUACAUUUCCAAUUGAACCAUUCAUUUAACCGGGAUUAACCACAAAUCCGCGUUUACUGUACCGCGAUUGCGAUUAACCCGACUAAUACCCAGACCCGUUAAGAAAACGACGUCGUUUCAUUUCGUUUAACUCAUCAAAAAGAGAAAGAAAACGACGUCGUUUUCAUUCUUCUUCUUUAACUCUCAAAUCGAUUUAGUCGUUCUUCUUUAAUCUCGACACUGUGAAAUUAGGGUUCUUGAGAGAGAAAGACAAAAGGAGAUUUGGGGUUUUCUUCUUCGGUUCGAAUUUUUGGGUCUCGAUUUGGGUUUCGAAUAGGGAGAAAUGAAGAAUUGGUGGGAGGAAGGAUUGAUUUACCAAAGCGAUCCAGAUGACCCCGAUUUCGAACCUCCAGAGAGUGACAUUGAAGCCGACGAUGGAAGUGAUAGUGGUGAUAGCGGAGUCGAGGAGGACGAAGCCACCAGAAUCGAGGGAGACGACGUCGGGAUAGAUGGAGACAGAGCUUCUGAUGGAGAGGAGAAUAGAGAAGACGAUGGUGACAUAGCGUCUGAUGGAGACGUCAAUCUAGAAGACGAUGGAGACAGAGAUGAAAGUCAAAAGAAGAGGACUACCAAAUCGAUUUGAGAGUUAAAGAAGAAGAAUGAAAACGACGUCGUUUUCUUUCUCUUUUUGAUGAGUUAAACGAAAUGAAAACGACGUCGUUUUCUUAACGGGUCUGGGUAUUAGUCGGGUUAAUCACAAUCGCGGUACAGUAAACGCGGAUUUGUGGUUAAUCCCGGUUAAAUGAAUGGUUCAAUUGGAAAUGUAUGUUUAAGCAUGAAUUCGAAAGUAGAUGAUGUAAUUUUGAGGAAUAUGAAAAUUGAUGGUGGAAAUUUAAGGGCCCAAAAGUCCGGGGGUGAAAGCUGAGAAUCGAAAUAAUUUAUGACUCGAAAAUCAGCCAACCCAAAAUCUAAUAGAAGAUUCUUUUCUUCUUUUUGUUUUUUGAUUAUCUUCUUUUUCUAGGCUGUUAUUUAACUAAUG